UGGUGGAGGUGAGUUUUGCAAUAAUAAAUUGCAAAAUCACUUCAGAAAUGAGGGUAUAAAAAUGCAAAUGUCAUGUCCUUCAACUCCCCAACAAAAUGGGGUAUCUGAAAGAAGACAUAGAACUAUUAGAGAAUAUGGACUAUCCCUAAUGUUUCAUAGUGGAGUAUCACAAAGCUUUUGGGUAGAGGCAUUUGACACUGCCACUUACCUUAUGAAUAGAACCCAUCCAGUCUCAUUAGGAAAUGUCUCACCAUUUGAGAAAUUAUACGAGAAAGAGUUCAAUUUCAACAAUCUAAAAAGUUUUGGAUGUGUAUGCUCUCCUUACAUAUAGGAUACUAAAAUAAAUAAAUUCAGUCCUAAGUCACUACCUUGUGUGAUGACAGGGUAUAGUGAAAAAUACAAAGGUUUUAAGUGUUUAAAUAAAAAAACAGAAAAAAUAAUUAUUUUUAGGCAUGUGCAUGGUAUUUGAUGAGGUCAAAUUUUCAUUUAGAAAAACAGCAAAAAAUAAUAAAGUAAAAGAUGUCAGUCAAGAGAAUGAGAUUACAAUAUUUUCUGAACUAGAAGGCAUAAAAAUGCUCUGUUUAAUCCAGAGGUUGGAUCUCUAAAUAAAGAACAAAACUGUAAUAGAGUUGUGGUUGGUUCAGAAGAACAAAUAAAUGUUCAAAUUCAACCAGCAAAUAGAAUUAUGAAUACUGCAGAUAUCGAUCAGCAGGAGAAUAUAGAACCUGUACUUGAUACUAAUCUAGAUAAUAUAGAGAACACAAUAUCUAACUUAGAUACUCACCAAUAAAAAUGGUUGUAGGAUGAUGCACCAACAAAUGGAUCUAGGAAAAUGGUUACAAGGUCAAUAGACGAAACUGUUAAACCCAAUUCAAAAUAUUUCAGCUUAACUCAAAUUAAAAAAAAUGAACCAAACAAUGUGAGUGAGGCAUUAAAGGAUGUAGAAUGGAAACAUGCCAUGGAGGAUGAGGUAGAUGCACUUAAAAGUUAGGGCACUUUUGAGCUAAUAGCAAAGGAACCAAUAAUGAGAAUCUUGAAAACUAAAUGGGUAUGGAAAAUAAAACUCAAAGCAGAUGGUAUACAAUAGAUAGAUUAAAGGUACUGAAGGAGGAUGUGUUUGUGGAACAACCACAAGGCUUUAAGGAUAAAGAGCAUCCAUACCAUGUAUGGAGACUGAAAAAAGCAUUAUAUGGGCUUAAACAAACUCCAAGAACAUGGUAUGACACUCUAAGUAAAUUCCUUCUAGAUUCAGACUUCAUACGUAAUAAGGCAGAUCCCUCACUUUUCAUUUACAAAAAUGGUAAAGGAUUCUCUGAUGAUGCUAGUCUAUGUAGAUGAUUUAGUUUUGACAGACUCAAGCAAAAAGUUAAUAGAGGAGUUCAUAAAAUGUAUAGAAAAAAGAUUUGAUGUUAAAGAGGAAGUUUCAUUACUUUUUAGGAAUUGUAGUAAUCUACUGUAGUGAUGGUAUGUAUAUUACUCAAGCUAAAUAUGCAAAGGAAGUUGUCACUAGGGCAAAGAUGGAAAAUGCAAGACCUGUGAGAUUACCAAUGUCAGCAAAAGAUAAAUGAUGGGGAACCAUUCCCUGACAUAACUUUGUAUCUCUCUCUAGCAGGAGCUUUACAAUAUCUAACUAUAAUAAGACCAGAUCUGACAUUUGUUGUAGGACAGGUUUGUCAAUUUAUGCAUGCACCAACAAUAUUGCACUUUAAAUUUUUAAAGAAGCUAAUAAGGUAUAAGUCACACUGCUCAAACCAAGCUUACAGUGUUUAGUGAUGCAGAUUGGGCCGUGUGUCCAUUGACCAGAAGAUCAACAACAGGUAUGUGUGUGUUCUUUGGGUCAAAUUGCCUCAUAGGGAACAAAAAAACAAAAGACAAUCUCAAAAUCCAGUACUGAAGCAGAAUAUAGGGCUAUGUCUGCAGCAGCAGCUAAAGUCACUUGGAUUACACACUUACUGAAAGAUUUAGAGGUCAGAAUGGUUGAAACACCUCAACUAUUCUGUGAUAACCUAAGUGUUUUACAAUUAACAAUAAAUCCGAAAUUUCAUAAGAAAUCAAAACAUUUUGAGUUAGAUUUUCAUUAUGUUAGAGAGAAAAAAUAGCUCAAGGGAAGUUGUUAACUAGAUUUAUUAGAAGUGAAAAGCAAAUUGCGGACUUGUUCACAAAACCAGUGGACAUAACAAUAUUAGAAAAAUUAAAAACAAAAAUUGGACUGAUUAAUCUUGAGGAUGUAUUAAAGGCUAGACAACAAUAAUAAUAAAAUUAGAAGAAAAGAAAAAC
rnacentral:lncRNA from 1 species